rnacentral:misc_RNA from 1 species
UGGUUUAGGGAUUUGAGCUGAUUCACAAUGGCCUCCUAUAGGCAAUUUCCUCCACAAUCCACAUUCCCGCCGCCCCAACAACCACCACAACAGCAACAGCAGAGACCUAAUCAGUAUACUCAAAACUACUCUCAAAUGGCUCCAACGCCAGCUGCUUCUUCCUCUACAUUCCCCCAAAACUACCCCCAAAUUCCUACUCAGCAGAAUUUCUCGCAACAUUAUCCUCCUCGACGUGCCCAACACCCUGCCCCUCCACCACCACCUCACCAACAAUAUCCGUAUCAGCCUCCCCCACCUCCCCCAGCACCAGAAUCAUCAUAUCCACC